CACAGCGCCACCUGGUGUCAUUACAGUGUACUAAUAUAAGCAGAGGAAUUUCCCAGAAACCAUUGCGCUGAAACGGUAUAUAAACCAAAGCGACGCGUUCAUUCGGUCUCAUUUGUCUGCGGCGCUCAUGGGGAAUGUAGGUAAUUCAUUGACUCGUUUAAUCGCAGUAGUUUAAUAUAAUGUUGGGUGUUUUUCUGUAAUGUAGAUGUUUGUUGUGUAACUGCCUUAAGAAGUUGUGUUUUUUUUUUUGUUAUUUUGCUUUAAAUUCUGGAAAAGGAGUCGCUAAUUCGAAGUGCGGUCCACGUGUUAUAGGCCUCGACUGAACGUUAAUAUGCUUAUUGUAACUAAAUUAUCUUUGCUAAUAUGCUUUAAAUAAGUUUUGAGUGAAAGGUUUUAAUAUUAAAUUGACUAAACCAAUUAACGUUUAAUUCAAUAUUGGUCCACGUGGUAUGUAUGUGUUGUAGCGAAUCAUUUUUUAAAUAUUUCUAUAUUUUUUAUUUCCAGGUGUAAUGCUUUGAGGCCUUAGAUAAAGGGUGACAACAGGUGUAUAUACCAUAAGUCUGGUUUUAAAUGCAUUUUGAAUACUUUGCUUGUGAUGAAUAAAAGAAGAAAUAAGAGCAGUGGACAGGAGUGGUUUCUGAGAACAUUUUUACACUGAGGCAUUGUGAAGUUUUUAAUUGAGGAUGUAAUUGACGUUUCAGCGUUAUAAUCCGCUUUAUUUAUUUUUUUGCUUGCAGGAAUCGAGUGGAUCUAGAGUAGUGUCCACGGUAUUUAUUUAUUUUUUUUUUCUCUCGGAGAUGGAAGAAAUUUAACAAGUCAAUUACUUGACUAACACUUAAUUUGUCCAUGUUUAGUUCAUAUGCCUAUAAUGGCCUCUGUUUACUUGUAUGAUGAUUUAAGUGAUGUUUGUAGGGACAUCUGAGUAUUUGAUGAGCCAACAUCUCUGACAAGUAAAACGGUUGUGUGCGCGUGCCUAGUCUUUGUAAACUUCAGUUUUAAAUAUUUCUAUAUUUUUAUUUCCAGGUCUAAUGCUUUGAGGCCUUUGAUAAAGGGUGACAACAGGAAUGUGAAUCUGGAACGCUGUGUGAAAGGAGCAUGUGCAGAUGAAUUGAACGGUGGUUUAAGAUGGUACAAGAGAUGUGAAGAUGCCUUCAGCUGAGCACGCACGACUUCUGCAGGGAUUCAGGCAUAUCUGCUUUCCCUCUAUUUCUGGCUGUGGAAAGAUCAGCAGCCGUCUGAUUGUUUUUCAGGGACAGCAUGAUGUUGGGAUCAGUGCUGAUGGCAGUCACUGUGGGUGUGUGUGCUUAUUGACAGGUGUGGUGGUGACUGCUCCUUUGUGCCAUGUGAAUAUGAAUGGGGCGUGUGUUUAA
rnacentral:lncRNA from 1 species